AAUAAACCAGGGGAAGCUAACCAACAAGCAUCAUCCUACAGCCUUGCCACAUCUGGUUACAAUUCUUGGUGGAAUGUAUGAGCCAGCUGCUGUGACAUAUCACCUGGGGCCUGCAAAUCACUUUGUGGCAUUCCACAAAUUGGGUUUAGAUAGAAGCUGGCAUUUCUAUGAUGGCCUUGAAGAAAAUGAAAAGCCUGGAAGAGGAGAUACCGUCAUCAAAGAGACGACCAUCCAAAGAAAACUUGGGGCUAACUCCCGUGUUGGCCACAUUGUUAUGGUCCGGGACAAAGCAGCAGAAGCUGUUCAAAGUGGAUGAAAGACUGAAG